rnacentral:lncRNA from 1 species
GUGGGAUAGAGGUUGUGAUUCAGAAAAGAGCUUGUCUUCCAGAUCAUGGCCCCAGUAAACUGUCUCUAACCAGAGAAAUUCACUGGUGAGGUAAUGCUCCCAUGAUCUAAUUGCCUUCCAAACACAUGAAGCUUUAGGGCACUGCCCUGAUCAAAACAAUAAUUAGGGCAAAACAGUUCAGUUGUUGGCAGUCUGUAGUGUGUUCUGCUCAGUUCAAAUUAAAAUCAUGAAUCGGCAAAGUGCAGCUCUGCUAGCAGUCCUGAUGUGAGCAGACAAUGCUGGAGAAUGCUGGAUGCCAACAGCUGACGCAGCCACUAUCAACUUGCGCUGGAUGGUAUAGGUCAAAUCUACUGGGUGCUGGUCUCUGCUGCUGAUUUUCAUUGGCUACUGGUCUACUCAGGGUAAGAAUUAUAAAGCUAAUUAUAUGCUGGCUGUUCAAGAUAAGAAUCUUGAGUAGAUUUAUAGGACUUUACAGGCCUUUUCGAAUCCACACUAUCUGAAAAAUAAAUCACAAAUAGGUUUACAGGACCACCAGAAGGAGUCUUAAUAGGUCCUGUGCAGCAAAGCAAGGGGGUCAGUACAUGGAAAAAGAUCCCUCCUAGACUAAACUGACAAGUGUGUGGAAAAUGUUGCUUAUGUAGCAGCUUCAGGCCUGUGAUUGGUCCAAGUACAGGCCUCUGAUUGGUCUAAAUGGAUGCAAGGUUCCGGACAGUUAUAGCUGUCAGGGUUCCAGUGAGAAAGUGGAGCUGAAACCAGUGAAUGCUUCUGGAAGACUAGUUGUGGAUGGUUGAGGAUGUUAACAAUGGGCCCAGAGUCUUCUUUCCUUGCUCUUAGCCAUGCCAGAAGGUCCUUUCCCCUCCAUUCAAAGAGACAGCACUUGAAAACUCUGCAUGUUCAAGGUACUGAUGGUUAAAGUGUGGUACCCAGAGGAGCAGCGACCAGAACAACUUGAAAAAUCUAUUCAGAAAUGUGUUAGAAAUGCCAGCUGUUGGGCUUCACUUUGAUCCUGCUAAAUCUGAAACUCCAGGAAUGAAGUCCCACCAUCUAUGUUUUGACAAGCUGUGCAUGAGUUCUUGUUUCUGCUAAUGUUUGAGAAUCACAGUGAUGAAUAUUUAUUGAAUGAGAAAACAUGAGAAAAUUUCUCUGUGUUUUAUUUUUUUCAUUGAUACAGUAACCCUAACAAUUUGGGGGUUA